UGAAUCCAAACGUCGAGCGGAGAGCAGCUGGUUAAGGCCCAAUAUGUAGAGAGGCUGUGGUGAGUUCCCCUUGUGUGCUCUGGAAUACUCAGAGGACAUCAAAGCUCAUCACUACCACCCUGGUGCCAGGUUUCUUUUGGCACGAGGAGAGCUCAGCUCUGAACUUAGUU